CAGCAGCCGCGGUAUACGUAGGUCCCGAGCGUUGUCCGGAUUUAUUGGGCAUAAAGCGAGCGCAGGCGGUUAGAUAAGUCUGAAGUUAAAGGCUGUGGCUUAACCAUAGUACGCUUUGGAAACUGUUUAACUUGAGUGCAAGAGGGGAGAGUGGAAUUCCAUGUGUAGCGGUGAAAUGCGUAGAUAUAUGGAGGAACACCGGUGGCGAAAGCGGCUCUCUGGUCUGUAACUGACGCUGAGGCUCGGAAGCGUGGGGAGCAAACAGGAUUAGAUACCCCUGUAGUCCCUGUCUCUUAUACAC
rnacentral:rRNA from 1 species